CUAAAUGACUCUCGGCAACGGAUAUCUCGGCUCUUGCAUCGAUGAAGAACGUAGCGAAAUGCGAUACUUGGUGUGAAUUGCAGAAUCCCGUGAACCAUCGAGUCUUUGAACGCAAGUUGCGCCUGAAGCCAUCAGGUUGAAGGCACGUCUGCCUGGGCGUCACGCAU
rnacentral:rRNA from 169 species